AUUGAACGCUGGCGGCAGGCCUAACACAUGAAAGUCGAACGAGUGGCGGACGGGUGAGUAAUGUCUGGGAAACUGACUGAUGGAGGGGGAUAACUACUGGAAACGGUAGAUAAUACCGCAUACCAUCAGAUGUUCCCAGAUGGGAUUAGCUUGUUGGUGGGGUAACGGCUCACCAAGGCGAGUAUACCUAGCUGGUCUGAGAGGAUGACCAGCCACACUGGAACUGAGACACGGUCCAGACUCCUACGGGAGGCAGUAGGGGGGAAUAUUGCACAAUGGGCGCAAGCCUGAUGCUGCCAUGCCGCGUGUAUGAAGAAGGCCUUCGGGUUGUAAAGUACUUUCAGCGGGGAGGCGUGACCCGCAGAAGAAUCACCGGCUAACUCCGUGCCAGCAGCCGCGGUAAUUC
rnacentral:rRNA from 1 species